AGGGAACCAGUCCAGCGCCGAAUUUCCACGUUCUUCGGGGACGUUUGGAAAAUGUGGCGUUUAGGAAGUCGCGUGCCGAGGUUGGGCUCUGCAGCAAGUCCCCCUGACCGGGGCUGUUACCCAGAGCGGGUGCAAGGCCCAUAGCUGCUGUGCCUGCCUUGGAUGCGACUUCUUGGGAGUCGGGUUGCUUGGGAGUGCAAUCCUAAUAGGGUGGUAAACUCCACCUAAGACUAAAUACGGCCGUGAGACCGAUAGCAAACAAGUACCGUGAGGGAAAGUUGCAAAGAACUUUGAAGAGAGAGUUCAAGAGUACGUGAAACUGCUCAGAGGCAAACGGGUGGGCCCUCGAAAUCCUCCUGCAGGGGGAUUCAGUUAGGUGAGGCCGAGGUGACGUGCGAUUGCAUAAACGGACCCUCUCUGGGGACGGAUCGCCGUUGCGGUCUUGGCUUGACCUGACGCAUUUCCUCCUGCACAAGGGCGCCGCAUCCAGUUGGGUAGCUGUGUAAGUCGGCCAUAAGGACGAGCGAUGGAAGGUGGCCGGUGGUGUUGCUUCUGCUUCGCCGCCGGUUGUUAGCCAGUUCGUCCGUGGUGCGACACCCGACUGAGGUUAAUUUGUUCCCGCAUGGGAACUGGCCGUCCUCUCCAUCCUCUUGGAGCGGGUGCUUCGGAAAGUGUUUCAUGGUGUCGCUUCACCACUCUUUGUAGUGUUUGGCGCUCCCUGUUCACUGAUCGCCGAAAGCUACCGCGGGGGUGCACACGGCUAGCGGCGAGUUGGUCGGUCACCCACCCGACCCGUCUUGAAACACGGACCAAGGAGUCUAACAUGUGCGCAAGUCACGGGGUCUUGAAUAGGCCCAGAGGCGCAAUGAAAGUGAAAGCUGAUCUUGCAUCGGCUGUGUUGGGAUCUCCUGUCCUAUGCGGCGGGGAAGCACCAACGAUCCGUCCUGUCCGAUUUAUCGGUUGGGCGGAAUCCGAGCGCACACGUUGGGACCCGAAAGAUGGUG
rnacentral:rRNA from 1 species